rnacentral:rRNA from 1 species
UACAGAGGGGGCAAGCGUUAUUCGGAAUUAUUGGGCGUAAAGGGCGCGUAGGCGGCUUGGCAAGUGGAUGGUGAAAUCCCUCGGCUUAACCGAGGAACGGCCGUCCAAACUGCUUCGCUUGAGACCGGGAGAGGUGAGUGGAAUUCCCAGUGUAGCGGUGAAAUGCGUAGAUAUUGGGAGGAACACCAGUGGCGAAGGCGGACUCACUGGACCGGUACUGACGCUGAAGCGCGAAAGCGAGGGGAGCAAACGGGGAU